GAUGAACGCUGACGGCGUGCCUAAUACAUGCAAGUCGAGCGAACAGACGAGGAGCUUGCUCCUCUGACGUUAGCGGCGGACGGGUGAGUAACACGUGGAUAACCUACCUAUAAGACUGGGAUAACUUCGGGAAACCGGAGCUAAUACCGGAUAAUAUAUUGAACCGCAUGGUUCAAUAGUGAAAGACGGUUUUGCUGUCACUUAUAGAUGGAUCCGCGCCGCAUUAGCUAGUUGGUAAGGUAACGGCUUACCAAGGCAACGAUGCGUAGCCGACCUGAGAGGGUGAUCGGCCACACUAGAACUGAGACACGGUCCAGACUCCUACGGGAGGCAGCAGUAGGGAAUCUUCCGCAAUGGGCGAAAGCCUGACGGAGCAACGCCGCGUGAGUGAUGAAGGUCUUCGGAUCGUAAAACUCUGUUAUUAGGGAAGAACAAAUGUGUAAGUAACUAUGCACGUCUUGACGGUACCUAAUCAGAAAGCCACGGCUAACUACGUG
rnacentral:rRNA from 1 species